AGCGAACGCUGGCGGCAGGCCUAACACAUGCAAGUCGAACGAACUCUUCGGAGUUAGUUGCGGACGGGUGAGUAACACGUGGGAACGGUCCUUUUGGUUCGGAAUAACUCAUGUACACUUGUGCUAAUACCGAAUGUGUCCUUCGGGGGAAACAUUCAUCGCCAUUGUAGCGGCCCGCGUCCUACUAGCUAGUUGGUGAGGUAACGGCUCACCAAGGCUAGGCUCAGUAGCUGGUCAGAGAGGAUGGCCAGCCACACUUGGACUAGGACACGGGCCAGACUCCUACGCGAGGCGGGAGUGCGGGAUCUAGCGCAAUGGGGUGGAGGCUGAAGCAGCCAUGCCGCGAGAAUGAUGAAGUUCUGAGGGUUAUACAAUUCUUUCACCCGCGACGAUACUGACGGUACCCAGAGAAGAAGCCCCGGCUAACUUCGUG
rnacentral:rRNA from 1 species